rnacentral:rRNA from 1 species
UACGUGGGGGGCAAGCGUUGUCCGGAUUUAUUGGGCGUAAAGAGCGUGUAGGCGGCUAGAUAGGUCCGUUGUGAAAACUCGAGGCUCAACCUCGAGACGUCGAUGGAAACCAUCUGGCUAGAGUCCGGAAGAGGAGAGUGGAAUUCCUGGUGUAGCGGUGAAAUGCGCAGAUAUCAGGAAGAACACCCGUGGCGAAGGCGGCUCUCUGGUACGUGACUGACGCUGAGACGCGAAAGCGUGGGGAGCAAACAGG